UGGGAACGCGAAGAACCUUACCUGGACUUGACAUACCCUGAAUAUCUUAGAGAUAAGAGAAGCCCUUCGGGCGAGGGAUACAGGUGGUGCAUGGUUGUCGUCAGCUCGUGUCGUGAGAUGUUGGGUUAAGUCCCGCAACGAGCGCAACCCCUACUUGUUAGUCGCUACGCAAGAGCACUCUAGCGAGACUGCCGUUGACAAAACGGAAGGGAGGUGGGGCGACGUCAAAUCAUCAUGCCCCUUACUGUCCUGGGCCACACACGUAAUACAAUGGCGGUCAACAGAGGGAUGCUAAGCCGUGAGGUGGAGCGAACCCCUAAAAGCCGUCUCAGUUCGGAUUGCAGGCUGCAACUCGCCUGCAUGAAGUCGGAAUCGCUAGUAACCGCGGAUCAGCAUGCCGCGGUGAAUAC
rnacentral:rRNA from 1 species